CCGUAGGUGAACCUGCGGAGGGAUCAUUACUGAGUUUACGCUCUACAACCCUUUGUGAACAUACCUAUAACUGUUGCUUCGGCGGGCAGGGUCUCCGUGACCCUCCCGGCCUCCCGCCCCCGGGCGGGUCGGCGCCCGCCGGAGGAUAACCAAACUCUGAUUUAACGACGUUUCUUCUGAGUGGUACAAGCAAAUAAUCAAAACUUUUAACAACGGAUCUCUUGGUUCUGGCAUCGAUGAAGAACGCAGCGAAAUGCGAUAAGUAAUGUGAAUUGCAGAAUUCAGUGAAUCAUCGAAUCUUUGAACGCACAUUGCGCCCGCCAGCAUUCUGGCGGGCAUGCCUGUUCGAGCGUCAUUUCAACCCUCAAGCUCUGCUUGGUGUUGGGGCCCUACGGCUGACGUAGGCCCUCAAAGGUAGUGGCGGACCCUCCCGGAGCCUCCUUUGCGUAGUAACUUUACGUCUCGCACUGGGAUCCGGAGGGACUCUUGCCGUAAAACCCCCAAUUUUCCAAAGGUUGACCUCGGAUCAGGUAGGAAUACCCGCUGAACUUAAGCAUAUCAAUAAGCGGAGG
rnacentral:rRNA from 1 species